rnacentral:sRNA from 1 species
GCCAGGCACAGUGGCGCACGCCUGUAAGCCCAGCGGCUUGGGAGGCAGAGGCAGGAGGAUCACAAGUUCAGAGUCAGCCUCAGCAAUUUAGCAAGGCCCUCAGCAACUCAGUGAGACCCUGUCUCUA